CAAGUCGAACGAGAACGGGUUAUAGCUUGCUAUAAUUGUCAGCUAAGUGGCGCACGGGUGAGUAAUGUAUAGGUAAUAUGCCUCUUACUAAGGGAUAACAAUUGGAAACGAUUGCUAAUACCUUAUACUCCUUGUUAACUUAAGUUAAUAAGGGAAAGAUUUAUUGGUAAGAGAUUAGCCUGUAUUGUAUCAGUUAGUUGGUGGGGUAAUGGCCUACCAAGACUAUGACACAUAACUGGUUUGAGAGGAUGAUCAGUCACACUGGAACUGAGACACGGUCCAGACUCCUACGGGAGGCAGCAGUGGGGAAUAUUGCACAAUGGACGAAAGUCUGAUGCAGCAACGCCGCGUGGAGGAUGACACAUUUCGGUGCGUAAACUCCUUUUAUAUGAGAAGAUAAUGACGGUAUUAUAUGAAUAAGCACCGGCUAACUCCGUGCCAGCAGCCGCGGUAAUACGGGGGGUGCAAGCGUUACUCGGAAUCACUGGGCGUAAAGAGCAUGUAGGCGGAUUGAUAAGUUUGAAGUGAAAUCCUAUAGCUUAACUAUAGAACUGCUUUGAAAACUGUUAAUCUAGAAUGUGGGAGAGGUAGAUGGAAUUUCUGGUGUAGGGGGUAAAAUCCGUA
rnacentral:rRNA from 1 species